rnacentral:rRNA from 1 species
GUCCUACGGGACGCAGCAGUGGGGGAUAUUGCACAAUGGGGGAAACCCUGAUGCAGCGACGCCGCGUGUGGGAAGACGGUCCUCUGGAUUGUAAACCACUGUCCCCAGGGACGAAGAUGACGGUACCUGGGGAGGAAGCUCCGGCUAACUACGUGCCAGCAGCCGCGGUAAUACGUAGGGAGCAAGCGUUGUCCGGAAUUACUGGGUGUAAAGGGAGAGUAGGCGGGAGGGCAAGUUGGGGGUUAAAUCUAACGGCUCAACUGGUAGUGGCAGUCAAAACUGCUAUGCUUG